rnacentral:rRNA from 1 species
AGACAGAGGUGGCAAGCGUUGUUCGGAAUUACUGGGCUUAAAGGGCGCGUAGGUGGUGGCGUAAGUCCGGGGUGGAAUGCUGAGGCUUAACCUCAGAAUUGCCUUGGAAACUGUUCAUCUUGAGUGCUGGAGAGGAAGGGGGAAUUCCCGGUGUAGAGGUGAAAUUCGUAGAGAUCGGGAGGAAUACCAGUGGCGAAGGCGGCUGCCUGGACCGAUAUUGACGCUGAGACGCGAAAGCGUGGGUAGC